AUACGGAGGAUCCAAGCGUUAUCCGGAUUUAUUGGGUUUAAAGGGAGCGUAGAUGGAUUUUUAAGUCAGUUGUGAAAGUUCGGGGCUCAACCCCGUAAUUGCAGUUGAUACUGGAUAUCUUGAGUACAGUUGAGGUAGGCGGAAUUCGUGGUGUAGCGGUGAAAUGCGUAGAUAUUAGGAGGAACACCAGUGGCGAAGGCGGCUUACUGGACUGUAACUGACACUGAGGCACGAAAGCGUGGGGAGC
rnacentral:rRNA from 1 species